GGGUAGUUUGACUGGGGCGGUCUCCUCCUAAAGAGUAACGGAGGAGCACGAAGGUUGGCUAAUCCUGGUCGGACAUCAGGAGGUUAGUGCAAUGGCAUAAGCCAGCUUGACUGCGAGCGUGACGGCGCGAGCAGGUGCGAAAGCAGGUCAUAGUGAUCCGGUGGUUCUGAAUGGAAGGGCCAUCGCUCAACGGAUAAAAGGUACUCCGGGGAUAACAGGCUGAUACCGCCCAAGAGUUCAUAUCGACGGCGGUGUUUGGCACCUCGAUGUCGGCUCAUCACAUCCUGGGGCUGAAGUAGGUCCCAAGGGUAUGGCUGUUCGCCAUUUAAAGUGGUACGCGAGCUGGGUUUAGAACGUCGUGAGACAGUUCGGUCCCUAUCUGCCGUGGGCGCUGGAGAACUGAGGGGGGCUGCUCCUAGUACGAGAGGACCGGAGUGGACGCAUCACUGGUGUUCGGGUUGUCAUGCCAAUGGCACUGCCCGGUAGCUAAAUGCGGAAGAGAUAAGUGCUGAAAGCAUCUAAGCACGAAACUUGCCCCGAGAUGAGUUCUCCCUGAGACUUAGAGUCUCCUGAAGGAACGUUGAAGACGACGACGUUGAUAGGCCGGGUGUGUAAGCGCAGCGAUGCGUUGAGCUAACCGGUACUAAUGAACCGUGAGGCUUAACCUUACA
rnacentral:rRNA from 1 species